GCUGCGAGUGGUCUCGAGACGGAGACCGCCUUAUCCAAGUCCCCACAGAGGGGCACUUUCGGUAUUCUUCGACGCAAUCCGCCGCUCUUCGCCCGACCGCUUCCGCUCCCACCGAAACCCUGUGCUCUGGAGCGAGCGAGGAUGGCAGCAAAGGCCUUCGUCGUCUGCCCCAAUCCCAGACCGGAAGUCUUCUCUCGCGCCAGAAAACCGGGGAUUUCCCAUUAUACCCCUGCCCUUUCCUUUAAUACCCUGUUCUUCCCCUCCCGCCUCCGGGUCUCCGACUCCGAGACGAGCCUCCGCUUCCGGCGGUGCUCGGUGGUGCAGGAUAUCGCGGCGGUGGAGGACGAGAAAAAGGGGGACGAGAAGGAGGAAGGCCGCCAGGAGAACCGGCAGAAGCUCUACGUGGUGAACUUACCCUGGAACUUCUUGGCUCCCGAUAUAAGGAAGCUCUUCGGCGAGUGCGGCACCGUCGAAAGUGUGGAGAUCAUUAAGCAGAAGAAUGGGAAGAGCAGAGGCUUCGCCUUCGUCAUGAUGGCUUCGGAGGAGGAGGCACUGGCCGCCAUCGACAAACUUGAUUCUUAUGAAUUGAUGGGAAGGAUUAUUAGGGUUGAAUUUGCAAAGAGCUUGAGGAAGCCACCAUCACCUCCUUCUCCACCUGGUGCCACUGCUGCAGAUACGCGGCAGAAAAUCUAUGUAUCGAAUCUUUCUUGGAAAGCGAGGUCUGCUAAUCUCAAAGAAUUCUUCUCUGCAAAGUUCAAACCGCUAUCUGCCAGGGUGGUUUUUGAAGACCCAUCAGGAAGAUCUGCUGGAUAUGGCUUUGUUGCUUUUGCCACAAAAGAGGAAGCAGAUGCUGCUAUUUCUGAACUAGAUGGGAAGGAGUUAAUGGGCAGACCUGUUCGUUUGAGACUACGUCGGAAAAAAGGUGAUGAAUCUGGAAGUGAGCCGGAAGAGUCAGACAAUACUGAAGGGCAAUCCAACAACUCUUAGAGGAAGUGUAGAAUCACCACUUUUAUUUGCUCAUUUCCGCCAACUGGAUCAAUUGCAAACAUUAAUGGACUUGUCAUGUACGUCAUUCAUGUUGACAGAAAAAAAACAUUUCCUUUUGUAAUGUCGGGUGAUCACCUCAAAGUACAUAAAAUGGCGUGCAAAAAAUUUGUAGCUGCUGAACUCCUGCAAAGAAUUGCUAGCUGCUCAAUGAAUUGGUUUUAAGCAAAGGUGCUGUUAAAGGAUACUGUUUCAGUUCCAUUAUGAUAAUUGAGCAUCACAAUUGUAAGUACAAUCUGGAACUUGUUUAUUUCAGGUAUAGAAAUAAUUGCUUUUCAGAUUUA